UACAGAGGUGGCAAGCGUUGUUCGGAAUUACUGGGCGUAAAGGGCGAGUAGGUGGCCAUCUAAGUCAGACGUGAAAUCCCCCGGCUUAACCUGGGAACUGCGUCUGAUACUGGACGGCUUGAGUAUGGGAGAGGAACGUAGAAUUCCAGGUGUAGCGGUGAAAUGCGUAGAUAUCUGGAGGAAUACCGGUGGCGAAGGCGGCAUCCUGGACCGGUAUUGACGCUGAUGCGCGAAAGCCAGGGGAGCAAACGGG
rnacentral:rRNA from 1 species